rnacentral:rRNA from 1 species
CUUGACCUCAAAUCAGGUAGGACUACCCGCUGAACUUAAGCAUAUCAAU